AAUAAAACAUCCCUGCAUUUGAGGAACUGAUAUUAUAUUGAAAGACACUUGUUUCAGGUUCCCUCUGGCUGCUGUGAGGACAGAUCAUCUCACUAGGACUAGUUGGGGCAAUGUCACCCUCCCUACCACACAGCAAACUUUCCAGGGCCAAGGUUGGUUGGCAUGAGACCUGGUUAGAGGCAGCCCCAGACCCGAGCCUCCCUGGCCUGAUCCAGAUUCUGCUGCAUUACGCAUGGCCCUCAACCAGCCAUCUACUUGGCUGUGAAUCAACCGCCCUCUUCCUGGAAACCACAUUUCACUAAUGGAAAAAAAAAAAAAAAAA